GGAGUUAUAUUUAAUUAUAAUAUUUGAUUUGCAAUCAAAAAGUGCUUAUUAGCUAACUUCA
rnacentral:tRNA from 1 species